rnacentral:rRNA from 1 species
UAUGAGAGUUUGAUCCUGGCUCAGGACGAACGCUGGCGGCGUGCCUAAUACAUGCAAGUCGUACGCUUCUUUUUCCACCGGAGCUUGCUCCACCGGAAAAAGAAGAGUGGCGAACGGGUGAGUAACACGUGGGUAACCUGCCCAUCAGAAGGGGAUAACACUUGGAAACAGGUGCUAAUACCGUAUAACAAUCGAAACCGCAUGGUUUUGAUUUGAAAGGCGCUUUCGGGUGUCGCUGAUGGAUGGACCCGCGGUGCAUUAGCUAGUUGGUGAGGUAACGGCUCACCAAGGCUACGAUGCAUAGCCGACCUGAGAGGGUGAUCGGCCACAUUGGGACUGAGACACGGCCCAAACUCCUACGGGAGGCAGCAGUAGGGAAUCUUCGGCAAUGGACGAAAGUCUGACCGAGCAACGCCGCGUGAGUGAAGAAGGUUUUCGGAUCGUAAAACUCUGUUGUUAGAGAAGAACAAGGAUGAGAGUAACUGUUCAUCCCUUGACGGUAUCUAACCAGAAA